AGAAGAAUUCUUUCUGCAAGCCUGAGAUCUCAGACUGUAUGCAAUGAAGAACUUACCUGAAGCAGUCCAGAUUUUAAACAAAUAAUUCCAAUUCUUACAAUCCAUUCAGAUGCAGAGCUGGGCUGGUGUUAACACUGAACUGCCUGCAUUUUUCAAGAAGCAGUUGCUGUACAACCUUCAGGCCAACAACAAAUCCUUGAGUUGACAUGUUGGGCUAGCAGGUGCAGCAAUGGCUUCUUUGUGAGCUUGAUGAUUUCACUCUCAGUGGUUCAGGCCCGAUUGUUCUAGCUGCAUCAAUACUCAUUUUCAAGGGGAAUUAAGGGGAAUCCAUUCCUGACUUCAGAUUUUGGGUUCCGUGUUUUCCUUCUUUGAGGAAGAUAUGAAGGCAAGUCAUCAUACAGAUGAUUCUCUAAACAAACCAACCUGGAAACAAGAUGGGAUGACUCACAGUCCGGAGUUCCCAUUUCUCGCUCAGAGAAUCUGGGUGACAGCUCAGAAUAAACACAGAACUCCCAGACGGCUAUGGGUAGGUGAGCUAUUAAACACGGAGAUGAUAUUGUCAUCUGUCACAAACACGAAAACUUACUCCAACAACUGGCAGCACAGAUCCUAUCAUUUUAUGUGUGAAGGUUGUUUUCUUCAGGAGGAAAAAUCAAAUAUUUCCUUGAAAAAAAAUCAGUUUGUUUGCAAGCCUGGUUUCCUCAACCUCAGGAGAAAUCUACAGCCAGAAGAAACUUCCCAGUUUAUCAUUAAAACCUCUGCCUGCACUGCAAGAUGCCACUUUUCUCCUGCAGAAGAGAGAAAAAAAUAUUGCCAAAUUACCACCAUGGUAUAAUUUUUCUGCUUGUGUCCAUCAGCGUGACUUAUUAUAGGCUGAGUACACAUUAGCUGCUCUGACUUCAGAUAAACUGUAGGCCUUCUCAUCAGUCAGUCAGCUGGGAGGAAUAAGGAGGAGUGUAUGUAGAUGUAUACACCUCACACAAUAGGGAUAAUCCUCUGAUCUCUGUGAGUGCAAUAGUACCAUAUGGUGCAUGCACUAUUGAUCAGGAACAUGGCUAUGGGAUGGUCUGCAGACUUACUCUUAAAAAAGGAUAGUAAAUGCUCCUUGUGUUAAAAGGAAAAAUAGAAGUGAAGUACUGCAAACUGAAGAAAAGGUGUUUACAUUUUUGGAGACAUUUGUUAUACAAGGGUAUUCAUAAACCAGCAUGAGUCUGUGACCUGUAACACCUGGCUUUUAUAGUGGGAGUCAAAAUCAAUUUAAGAAGAAACACAACCAUGAGCAAAAUACAAAGCCUUAUGGAAAACACAUGGAUUCUCUUAUGCUACAUGAUUGUGCAUUACACUGCAUUUUUUGGUUGCAAAGAAGAACUCCCAAAUGCUAUGAGGAAGACAAAAGUAGUCGUUUAAAUUCAGUCUUUUAUAAAGUAUCUGAGGAAUUGCUAGAAAGGAAAUAUACUGUGAUGUUCCUGUCAAAUACUAAAAUAAGUCCAAAUCUUAAAAAAGAUUAAUUUUUGCAAAAAGUCAGGGUUUUGAAAUGAGAUUAUAGGAAUCAAAAGCUGAGGAAGAAAUCAAUUGCAAACUCAGCUUUCUGUGGGCACCAACAGACCUGGUAAUGAUACUGCAUUCUACAAAGUAAAUUUAAUAACUACUGUUGGGUAGUUAGCUGAAUAAACAAAAAUAAUUCUCCUUCAGCACUCUUACAUGCAUUGCUUAUAGUUCUCUUAUCAACUAUUUCAAUCUAUACAGCUCUAUCAAUCAAUUAAUUGAUUAUUCAAAAAGUGAAGCUAUUAUAAUCACAAAUAAUUCUUAUCACUUGCUUUGAUUUUUCAUAGAAUAUUAAAUUUCCCUUAUGGAGAAGCUAAUGAUCACACUUACAGAAAAGCGUACCAGUCCUCAGUAGAUCCAACUGCAAGUUCACAGAACAGGAGUAACUAAAAUGUCUUAAUUUUUAUAGUAAUAAAAACUACUCUGAUACAUUGUGGAACUGGUUUUAAGCAGAUCUUUGUUUGCAUUUACCAGACUUCACUUGGUAAUUGUCAUUAGUGCUAGAAAAUGACAUCUUUAAAAUAAGUUUAUUUUGUAACACUUAUUUUUUUCUUCCAUUAUAUCCAUUGGUAAACAACACUUAAAAAUUUUUGUCACCUUAUGCCUACACAAUGUUUAAGUGCCUUUCUAUGCACACUGAAGGCCACCUCACAAUAUUCUCUUUGAAUGUGAUAAAAUGGUCAUGGGUAUUUGUGUUUUCUAUCUCCUGGAUCCUUUGUCAGCUUUAACUGAAAUUUGUUCCAUAACUCUGUUUGAAGUAGAUUGCUUUUGUAUUUAUUGCAGUAAAAACUCUGUAGGUGAGCAGCUAAAAUAAGCCCUUGAUCUCCAAUGGCCAUAGGGAACAUAAGUAAGAAUACCUAUCCAAUUUAGGGACACCUAAAUGUAGACAUCUAAAUUUAGAUGGCUCAUUUGCAAACUGAAUUUCACUCCUAUUAAACCUAUAAUUAGGAUAACUUUCCAUCAAGAUAAAAUGGGAUUUACUAUGUUCAGAAGUGGCUGGAUAAAAUGUCAUGCAAGAUUUCCUCACGAUAAACCUCUUAUUAUCUUUGUAAUAUACAAAGAGAUUCUUAAGAAAAGUUAGUGCUUUUCUCUUAUGAUAAAUUGCUGAUAUUCUAGCUGUGAUUUUAUCAUUAAAAAUAUUAUUUGUGAGUAGUCAAACUCAAGUAACUUGUAGUUUUGAGGUUGUCCUCAGUGUGGAACUAGUCUUCAGUUUUCAGGGCAACUAACAAAUAUAUCCAACCAAGUGCCUAAGGUAUAUGUUAUUCACUCUCAUUUUUAUUAAUUGUUUUUUUUUUUUUUUUUUUUGGAAUGCUAUCCUGUCAGCUCUUUCAUUCUGAAUAUAUUAAAAUAAAAUUCUCUGUUUCAACUGCUGUAAUGUAAUCUUCUAAAUAAAGCACUGAAAAACUGAAAAUAAAAAA
ensembl:lncRNA